rnacentral:rRNA from 1 species
GGCCAGACUCCUACGGGAGGCAGCAGUGGGGAAUAUUGCACAAUGGGGGAAACCCUGAUGCAGCGACGCCGCGUGAGUGAAGAAGUAUUUCGGUAUGUAAAGCUCUAUCAGCAGGGAAGAAAAUGACGGUACCUGACUAAGAAGCCCCGGCUAACUACGUGCCAGCAGCCGCGGUAAUACGUAGGGGGCAAGCGUUAUCCGGAUUUACUGGGUGUAAAGGGAGCGUAGACGGCAUGGCAAGUCAGAUGUGAAAGCCCGGGGCUCAACCCCGGGACUGCAUUUGAAACUGUCAGGCUGGAGUGCAGGAGAGGUAAGUGGAAUUCCUAGUGUAGCGGUGAAAUGCGUAGAUAUUAGGAGGAACACCAGUGGCGAAGGCGGCUUACUGGACUGUAACUGACGUUGAGGCUCGAAAGCGUGGGGAGCAAACAGGAUUAGAUCCCCUUGUA